CUUCUUCUUGCUUAUUAAAAUCGUGAACCAUAGUUGAUGAAAGGGCAAACUUGAACUCCAUCAAACACUUAGAUUUAGGUCUUGCAAUCUUCGCAAAACUUGAAGAGCUUGGUCUUGUGAGUAUAUUCCAAGUGUUAGAACCUUGAAAGAAGCUUAGAGUUGUGAGAAAUUCUCUCCUUGGUGCAGCGCACCAAAGCUGCCAUGUGAAUUUGGAGGGAGCUUUUGCUUGCCUACUUGUUGGGUUGUGUUCUCUAGCCUUUAGUGAAGUGAUUCAAGGUGAAUUUGGUGAAGCAAGUGAGCUUGGAUAUUUCUUGGUGUCAAAACAAAUUGGAAAAGAGAACAGGAGUACAGGUACAUCUUCUGAGACAACGGGUUCCAGGAAGGGCAAGAAAGUGGUUUCAGAGUGGAUAUGUUGCUUUUAUGACUGUUUGUCUGACAUGAACAUAUAUAUGUAAAUCUUUGUUUUAAUUAUCUGACUCGAGGAUGACAGUAUCUCUUUUUGAUGACAUGAUGUGUGGUCAUGUCUAGAUAUAGUUUUAUUUUGAUAUCUGUAAUAGAAUGUAAAUGUUGUAAUUAUGUAAAUAGGAGUAUUAGAAGUCGAAAUAUGCAGUAAGUAGAUGAACAUGUAUAUUUUUAUGUUUUAAUGGCAUGGAGCCAUAUAUUGUAUUGUUUGCUGGGACUUUUCUGUAUUUCAAGCUAUGUAUUUUG